rnacentral:rRNA from 1 species
AUUGAACGCUGGCGGCAGGCCUAACACAUGCAAGUCGAGCGAGCGGCGGACGGGUGAGUAAUGUCUGGGAAACUGCCUGAUGGAGGGGGAUAACUACUGGAAACGGUAGCUAAUACCGCAUACCAUCAGAUGUGCCCAGAUGGGAUUAGCUCGUAGGUGGGGUAAUGGCUCACCUAGGCGACGAUCCCUAGCUGGUCUGAGAGGAUGACCAGCCACACUGGGACCGAGGCACGGGCCAAGCUCCUACGGGAGGGAGCAGUGGGGAAUAUUGCAAAAUGGGCGCAAGCCUUAUGCAGCCAUGGCGCGUGUAUGAAGAAGGCCUUUGGGUUGUAAAGGACUUUCAGCGGGGAGGCGUUACCCGCAGAAGAAGCACCGGCUAACUCCGUGCCAGCAGCCGCGGUAAUUC